rnacentral:rRNA from 1 species
UACAGAGGGGGCAAGCGUUGUUCGGAAUUACUGGGCGUAAAGGGCGCGUAGGUGGCCUUCUAAGUUGAACGUGAAAUCCCUGGGCUCAACCCAGGAACUGCGUCCAAGACUGGGAGGCUUGAAUCCGGGAGAGGGAUGCGGAAUUCCAGGUGUAGCGGUGAAAUGCGUAGAUAUCUGGAGGAACACCGGUGGCGAAGGCGGCAUCCUGGACCGGUAUUGACACUGAGGCGCGAAAGCUAGGGGAGCAAACAGG